CAGAUUUUUUAAGGGUCUCAAAACCUUAAUUAAAUUUUAUCUCUCAUCUCUCUCAUUUGAGAGAACUAGCCACCCCCACGAGCUCCUCUACCGCCCGCCGGAUCUGACGAUGGCCGGCAGCCACGAACUUUUCUCCCCCUCAUCUCUCUCUUUCCUACGUAGGGUGGACACUAACGCCGUCAGAUUUCACUACUGGACGGCAAUUGAUACGCCACCAUUGAUGACCCUCAUUGCCUUUGUCUUUGUUUUGGCCGGAGAAGUGGUCGGAAAAGGUCAGAUCUUGACGAAAAACUCCACCUCUGUUUGGCCAUGUCAUUUCUCGGUGACUCUGGCAAUGAGCUAACGCUGUGUUACCCGGUCGUUCGCCUCUACUGCCCACUGCUACCGUUGAAUUUUAGCCAAAAAAAUUCAUCCAGCGAAACAAAUGUUGCUCUGGUGAUUCCUUAGUGUCGUAGAAGCUUCCCAGGCUAACACUUUUGUGGUUUCUUCGUUACAAUUUCGCUGCUUCGUUCUUGAUGUCGUUGUCUUUGGUUCUAUGCUGUUCCAUUGAUAUUGCAAUAGUGACUCAAAAAUGCUCAAUUACUAUUUGUAUUAGUUGAGGCAGAACUUCGCCGUUGUUGUUUGUUGCUGGACUGCAUUUGAGAUUCAUGGCUUGAAAGCCGUCUCACUGUGUUGCUUUUGGUGGUUUCCAGCCACUGCGUUGAUGGAAAAUCUUGUUCAAAUGAUUUCCAUUCAACUGACUGUGUUUGUGCCAUUACUUUGACCAAAAUAAUAUUUAGCUGACCUACUGUUUUGACUAA